rnacentral:rRNA from 1 species
GGGGGAUUUUCCGCAAUGGGCGCAAGCCUGACGGAGCAAGACCGCGUGAGGGAGGAAGGCUCUUGGGUUGUAAACCUCUUUUAUCAGGGAAGAAGAUCUGACGGUACCUGAUGAAUCAGCAUCGGCUAACUCCGUGCCAGCAGCCGCGGUAAUACGGAGGAUGCAAGCGUUAUCCGGAUUUAUUGGGCGUAAAGCGUCCGCAGGUGGUUUUACAAGUCUGCUGUCAAAGCGCGAGGCUUAACCUCGUACAGGCGGUGGAAACUGUGAGACUAGAGUAUGGUAGGGGUAGCGGGAAUUCCCAGUGUAGCGGUGAAAUGCGUAGAUAUUGGGAAGAACACCAGCGGCGAAAGCGCGCUACUGGGCCAUUACUGACACUCAUGGACGAAAGCUAGGGGAGCGAAAGGGAUUAGAUACCCCUGUAGUCCUAGCUGUAAACGAUGGAUACUAGGUGUUGCCCGUAUCGACCCGGGCAGUGCCGUAGCUAACGCGUUAAGUAUCCCGCCUGGGGAGUAUGCACGCAAGUGUGAAACUCAAAGGAAUUGACGGGGGCCCGCACAAGCGGUGGAGUAUGUGGUUUAAUUCGAUGCAACGCGAAGAACCUUACCAAGGCUUGACAUGUCGCGAACUCUUGUGAAAGUGAGAGGUGCCUUCGGGAGCGCGAACACAGGUGGUGCAUGGCUGUCGUCAGCUCGUGUCGUGAGAUGUUGGGUUAAGUCCCGCAACGAGCGCAACCCUCGUUUUUAGUUGCCAGCAUUCAGUUGGGCACUCUAGAGAGACUGCCGGUGACAAACCGGAGGAAGGUGGGGAUGACGUCAAGUCAGCAUGCCCCUUACGUCUUGGGCUACACACGUACUACAAUGCUACGGACAAAGGGUUGCGAGCUAGCGAUAGCAAGCUAAUCCCAUAAACCGUGGCUCAGUUCAGAUUGCAGGCUGCAACUCGCCUGCAUGAAGGAGGAAUCGCUAGUAAUCCCAGGUCAGCAUACUGGGGUGAAUACGUUCCCGGGCCUUGUACACACCGCCCGUCACACCAUGGGAGUUGGCCACGCCCGAAGUCGUUACUCCAACCUUUCGAGGAGGAGGAUGCCGAAGGCAGGGCUGAUGACUGGGGUGAAGUCGUAACAAGGUAGCCGUACCGGAAGGUGUGGCUGGAUCACCUCCU